ensembl:lncRNA
UUUCAUCUCUCGUUUUUUACCAUCCUAUCACUACAGUACCACAAAAUUAACUAACUGUUCUAAUUGUCCUAAAUGUCCUAAUUUUCUGACAUCUUAUCUUUCUCCUUGUCCAUGAAUACUUUGUGACCUAACAGGGACCAGAAUAAUUUUCACAGCAUCAAUUACUAUGUCUACUCCAGUGAAUUUCAGUGUCUACCUGCGGAAGUGAGACCAACUGGAUCAUUUGAUAGAGAAACAACAGUCCUAGGCAGAGAUAGCUAGGCUUCACUUCCUCAUCUACAAACAGUUCCAGCCAAAGGUCUCUGCUCAG